GAUGAAGAACGCAGCGAAAUGCGAUAAGUAGUGUGAAUUGCAGAAUUCAGUGAAUCAUCGAAUCUUUGAACGCACAUUGCGCCCCUUGGUAUCCCGAGGGGCAUGCCUGUUCGAGCGUCAUUUCACCACUCAAGCCUGGCUUGGUGUUGGGCGACGUCCUCUUUGGGGACGCGCCUCGAAACGCUCGGCGGCGUGGCACCGGCUUUAAGCGUAGCAGAAUCUUUCGCUUUGGAAGUCGGGGCCCCGUCUGCCGGAAGACCUGCUCGCAAGGUUGACCUCGGAUCAGGCAGGGAUACCCGCUGAACUUAAGCAUAUCAAUAAGCGGAAGA
rnacentral:misc_RNA from 1 species